GCCCUUGGGUCCGGCAUAACCCCGGGAAACUGGGGAUAAUUCCGGAUAACGCACAUAUGCUGGAAUGCUUUAUGCGUAAAAUGGAUUCGUCUGCCCAAGGAUGGGUCUGCGGCCUAUCAGGUAGUAGUGGGUGUAAUGUACCUACUAGCCAACAACGGGUACGGGUUGUGAGAGCAAGAGCCCGGAGAUGGAUUCUGAGACAUGAAUCCAGGCCCUACGGGGCGCAGCAGGCGCGAAAACUUUACAAUGCGGGAAACCGUGAUAAGGGGACACCGAGUGCCAGCAUCAUAUGCUGGCUGUCCGGGUGUGUAAAAUACACCCGUUAGCAAGGGCCGGGCAAGACCGGUGCCAGCCGCCGCGGUAACACCGGCGGCCCGAGUGGUGAUCGUGAUUAUUGGGUCUAAAGGGUCCGUAGCCGGUUUGGUCAGUCCUCCGGGAAAUCUGACGGCUUAACCGUUAGGCUUUCGGGGGAUACUGCCAGGCUUGGAACCGGGAGAGGUAAGAGGUACUACAGGGGUAGGAGUGAAAUCUUGUAAUCCCUGUGAGACCACCUGUGGCGAAGGCGUCUUACCAGAACGGGUUCGACGGUGAGGGACGAAAGCUGGGGGCACGAACCGGAUUAGAUACCCGGGUAGUCCCAGCCGUAAACGAUGCUCGCUAGGUGUCAGGCAUGGCGCGACCGUGUCUGGUGCCGCAGGGAAGCCGUGAAGCGAGCCACCUGGGAAGUAC
rnacentral:rRNA from 1 species